CAAUUUUCAGCGACGGAUAUCUUGGCUCGAGCACCUAUGAAGGGCGCAGCGAAGUGCGAUAAUCGUUAUGAAUUGCAGAACUCCGUGAACCAAUGGCCUCUUGAACGUGCAUUGCGCUCUUGGGAUAUGCCUGAGAGCAUGUCUGCUUCAGUG
rnacentral:rRNA from 1 species